GACCAAGACCAUGCCAAGGUUGGCCUGGUUAGUACUUGGUUGGGAGACCGCCUGGGAAUACCAGGUGCUGUAAGCU
rnacentral:rRNA from 1 species